rnacentral:rRNA from 1 species
UGCUGCGUCAAGUGUGUUCUCGCGCCUAGUUUCCCACAGACCACUGAAGUUAAGCACUGUUGCGCGUGGUUAGUACCUGGAUGGGUGGCCAUCUGGGCAAUCGCGUGCUGCUUGGU